UACAGAGGUCCCGAGCGUUGUUCGGAUUCAUUGGGCGUAAAGGGUGCGUAGGCGGCGGGGCAAGUCUGAUGUGAAAUCCCGGGGCUCAACCCCGGAACUGCAUUGGAUACUGCCUUGCUUGAGUACCGGAGAGGGAACUGGAAUUUACGGUGUAGCAGUGAAAUGCGUAGAGAUCGUAAGGAAGGCCAGUGGCGAAGGCGAGUUCCUGGACAGUUACUGACGCUGAGGCACGAAGGCCAGGGGAGCAAACGGG
rnacentral:rRNA from 1 species